rnacentral:rRNA from 1 species
AUUGAACGCUGGCGGCAGGCCUAACACAUGCAAGUCGAGCGGAAGAAGGGAGCUUGCUCCUGGAUUCAGCGGCGGACGGGGGAGUAAUGCCUAGGAAUCUGCCUGGCUGUGGGGGAUAACGUCCGGAGACGGGCGCUAAUACCGCAUGCGUCCUGAGGGAGAAAGUGGGGGAUCUUCGGACAUCACGCUAUCAGAUGAGCCUAGGGCGGAUUAGCUAGUUGGUUGGGUAAAGGCCUACCAAGGCGACGAUCCGUAACUGGUCUGAGAGGAUGAUCAGUCACACUGGAACUGAGACACGGUCCAGACUCCUACGGGAGGCAGCAGUGGGGAAUAUUGGACAAUGGGCGAAAGCCUGAUCCAGCCAUGCCGCGUGUGUGAAGAAGGUCUUCGGAUCGUAAAGCACUUUUAGUUGGGAGGAAGGGCAGUAAGUUAAUACCUUGCUGUUUUGACGGUACCAACAGAAUAAGCACCGGCUAACUACGUG